rnacentral:rRNA from 1 species
GACGGGGGAUGCGAGCGUUAUCCGGAAUGAUUGGGCGUAAAGGGUCCGCAGGUGGCCCGGUCAGUCCGCUGUCAAAGCCUGGGGCUCAACCCUGGAGAGGCGGCGGAGACCACCGGGCUUGAGUCCGGUAGGGGCAGAGGGAAUUCCCGGUGGAGCGGUGAAAUGCGUAGAGAUCAGGAAGAACAUCGGUGGCGAAGGCGCUCUGCUGGACCAUAACUGACACUCAGGGACGAAAGCUAGGGGAGCGAAAGGG